UGCGGGGGGGGCAAGCGUUGUUCGGAAUUACUGGGCGUAAAGGGCUCGUAGGCGGCCAACUAAGUCAGACGUGAAAUCCCCAGGCUCAACCUGGGAACUGCGUCUGAUACUGGAUGGCUUGAAUCCGGGAGAGGGAUGCAGAAUUCCAGGUGUAGCGGUGAAAUGCGUAGAUAUCUGGAGGAAUACCGGUGGCGAAGGCGGCAUCCUGGACCGGCAUUGACGCUGAGGAGCGAAAGCCAGGGGAGCAAACGGG
rnacentral:rRNA from 1 species